GAGUUUGAUCCUGGCUCAGGACGAACGCUGGCGGCGUGCCUAAUACAUGCAAGUCGAACGAACUCUGGUAUUGAUUGGUGCUUGCAUCAUGAUUUACAUUUGAGUGAGUGGCGAACUGGUGAGUAACACGUGGGAAACCUGCCCAGAAGCGGGGGAUAACACCUGGAAACAGAUGCUAAUACCGCAUAACAACUUGGACCGCAUGGUCCGAGUUUGAAAGAUGGCUUCGGCUAUCACUUUUGGAUGGUCCCGCGACGUAUUAGCUAGAUGGUGAGGUAAUGGCUCACCAUGGCAAUGAUACGUAGCCGACCUGAGAGGGUAAUCGGCCACAUUGGGACUGAGACAUGGCCCAAACUCCUACGGGAGGCAGCAGUAGGGAAUCUUCCACAAUGGACGAAAGUCUGAUGGAGCAACGCCGCGUGAGUGAAGAAGGGUUUCGGCUCGUAAAACUCUGUUGUUAAAGAAGAACAUAUCUGAGAGUAACCGUUCAGGUAUUGACGGUAUUUAACCAGAAAGCCACGGCUAACUACGUGCCAGCAGCCGCGGUAAUACGUAGGUGGCAAGCGUUGUCCGGAUUUAUUGGGCGUAAAGCGAGCGCAGGCGGUUUUUUAAGUCUGAUGUGAAAGCCUUCGGCUCAACCGAAGAAGUGCAUCGGAAACUGGGAAACUUGAGUGCAGAAGAGGACAGUGGAACUCCAUGUGUAGCGGUGAAAUGCGUAGAUAUAUGGAAGAACACCAGUGGCGAAGGCGGCUGUCUGGUCUGUAACUGACGCUGAGGCUCGAAAGUAUGGGUAGCAAACAGGAUUAGAUACCCUGGUAGUCCAUACCGUAAACGAUGAAUGCUAAGUGUUGGAGGGUUUCCGCCCUUCAGUGCUGCAGCUAACGCAUUAAGCAUUCCGCCUGGGGAGUACGGCCGCAAGGCUGAAACUCAAAGGAAUUGACGGGGGCCCGCACAAGCGGUGGAGCAUGUGGUUUAAUUCGAAGCUACGCGAAGAACCUUACCAGGUCUUGACAUACUAUGCAAAUCUAAGAGAUUAGACGUUCCCUUCGGGGACAUGGAUACAGGUGGUGCAUGGUUGUCGUCAGCUCGUGUCGUGAGAUGUUGGGUUAAGUCCCGCAACGAGCGCAACCCUUAUUAUCAGUUGCCAGCAUUAAGUUGGGCACUCUGGUGAGACUGCCGGUGACAAACCGGAGGAAGGUGGGGAUGACGUCAAAUCAUCAUGCCCCUUAUGACCUGGGCUACACACGUGCUACAAUGGAUGGUACAACGAGUUGCGAACUCGCGAGAGUAAGCUAAUCUCUUAAAGCCAUUCUCAGUUCGGAUUGUAGGCUGCAACUCGCCUACAUGAAGUCGGAAUCGCUAGUAAUCGCGGAUCAGCAUGCCGCGGUGAAUACGUUCCCGGGCCUUGUACACACCGCCCGUCACACCAUGAGAGUUUGUAACACCCAAAGUCGGUGGGGUAACCUUUUAGGAACCAGCCGCCUAAGGUGGGACAGAUGAUUAGGGUGAAGUCGUAACAAGGUAACC
rnacentral:rRNA from 2 species